GCUUAAAAAAAGGAAUUGACAUUUCUGUAGCUUCCAGAUAGCACUUCGUGGAUUCUGUGGAAAAUCAAAGAAAGUAGAAGGGUUUUGGAAUCAAACAGAUCGGCAUGCAGUUCUCAGCAGCGAUCCGCUGUUAUGUGACCUUGGACCUGGCUCUUUCUCCCUCCCAUGGUUCAGCUUUUGGCCAUUUCAUUCGUCAUUUGCACCUACGGUGGGAAGAAGACAGAGAAGCUGAAGCACAGCUGGAAGGGAGAGAAAGCGAGAGACAGACGGGCAGCCUAGGAGGUCAUCAACCAGGUCUUGUGGUGCUGGGAACAGAACCCUCACUGUGGUCUCCUUUUUCAUCCAGCCAGGAUUUUGGAGACCUGAGAUUAGAAAGGAAUAAUUUUAAAGCUCUAGGACUUACAAUUAAUUCCUAAUGAAAUUCUCCCUUUCUCCAAGUGCAGGUGUGGUAAAAGUGUCUCACUGUGAAAUAAGUGUCCCGCUGGUUGGAGCUACACCUUUGAGUGUUUGGGGGGAGAGAAAUGGAAAUCCAUUUGGAAGAGGAUUCUGUAUGAAGCAUUAGAAGUGACUCUUGGUUAUCUUUCUGCUGUGAGGGUGACACACCCUGAAGUAGGACUGCAAGAAAUAGGGAAGGGAGGCCCUGACCCACCCCAGGCACCCACUGAAACCAGGCUCCAAGGUGGCCUUUUAGCUAAAGCAGGAUGGAAAUGCCCAGGACCUUGUUUUUUCCAGAGAGUCAGAGGAGGACUGGGACAGCACAGGUUCAGCAGAGGUCUCUGGGAGACAGUCAACCCGGAACCUGAGCCAGGGCUGGGGAGCAGGCUG
rnacentral:lncRNA from 1 species